UGCAGUCGAGCGAACAGAUGAGAAGCUUGCUUCUCUGAUGGUAGCGGGGGACGGGUGAGUAACACGUGGGUAACCUACCUAUAAGACUGGGAUAACUCCGGGAAACCGGGGCUAAUACCGGAUAAUAUUUUGAACCGCAUGGUUCGAUAGCGAAAGACGGUUUCGGCUGUCACUUAUAGAUGGACCCGCGCCGUAUUAGCUAGUUGGUAAGGCAACGGCUUACCAAGGCGACGAUACGUAGCCGACCUGAGAGGGUGAUCGGCCACACUGAAACUGAGACACGGCCCAGACUCCUACGGGAGGCAGCAGAAGGGAAUCUUCCGCAAUGGCCGAAAGCCUGACGGAGCAACGCCGCGUGAGUGAUGAAGGUCUUCGGAUCGUAUAACUCUGUUGUUAGGGAAGAACAAAUUUGUUAGUAACUGAACAAGUCUUGACGGUACCUAACCACAAAUCCACGGCUAACUACGUGCCAGCAACCGCGGUAAUACGUAGGUGGCAAGCGUUAUCCGGAAUUAUUGGGCGUAAAGCGCGCGUAGGCGGUUUCUUAAGUCUGAUGUGAAAGUCCACGGGUCAACCGUGGAGGAUCAUUGGAAACUGGGAAGCUUGAGUGCAGAAGAGGAGAGUGGAAUUCCAUGUGUAGCGCUGAAAUGCGCAGAGAUAUGUACGAGCACCAGUGGCGAACGCGGCUCUCUGGUCUGUAUCUGACGCUGAUGUGCG
rnacentral:rRNA from 1 species